AUUGAACGCUGGCGGCAGCCUUAACACAUGCAAGUCGAGCGGAGAUGAGGUGCUUGCACCUUAUCUUAGCGGCGGACGGGUGAGUAAUGCUUAGGAAUCUGCCUAUUAGCGGGGGACAACAUUCCGAAAGGAAUGCUAAUACCACAUACACCCGACGGGGGAAAGCCGGGGAUCGUCGGACCUGGCGCUGAUAGAUGGGCCUAAGUCGGAUUAGCUAGUUGGUGGGGUAAAGGCCUACCAAGGCGACGAUCGGUAGCGGGUCGGAGAGUAUGGGCCGCCACACUGGGACUGAGACACGGCCCAGAAUCCUACGGGAGGCAGCAGUGGGGAAUAUUGGACAAUGGGCGGAAGCCUGAUCCAGCCAUGCCGCGUGUGUGAAGAAGGCCUUUUGGUUGUAAAGCACUUUAAGCGAGGAGGAGGCUACCUGGAUUAAUACUCUAGGAUAGUGGACGUUACUCGCAGAAUAAGCACCGGCUAACUCUGUGCCAGCCGCCGCCGUAACAC
rnacentral:rRNA from 1 species